GCGUUGGCCCAAUUGAUUGAUGGUGCUUGCACCUGAUUGAUUUUGGUCGCCAACGAGUGGCGGACGGGUGAGUAACACGUAGGUAACCUGCCCAGAAGCGGGGGACAACAUUUGGAAACAGAUGCUAAUACCGCAUAACAGCGUUGUUCGCAUGAACAACGCUUAAAAGAUGGCUUCUCGCUAUCACUUCUGGAUGGACCUGCGGUGCAUUAGCUUGUUGGUGGGGUAACGGCCUACCAAGGCGAUGAUGCAUAGCCGAGUUGAGAGACUGAUCGGCCACAAUGGGACUGAGACACGGCCCAUACUCCUACGGGAGGCAGCAGUAGGGAAUCUUCCACAAUGGGCGCAAGCCUGAUGGAGCAACACCGCGUGAGUGAAGAAGGGUUUCGGCUCGUAAAGCUCUGUUGUUAAAGAAGAACACGUAUGAGAGUAACUGUUCAUACGUUGACGGUAUUUAACCAGAAAGUCACGGCUAACUACGUGCCAGCAGCCGCGGUAAUACGUAGGUGGCAAGCGUUAUCCGGAUUUAUUGGGCGUAAAGAGAGUGCAGGCGGUUUUCUAAGUCUGAUGUGAAAGCCUUCGGCUUAACCGGAGAAGUGCAUCGGAAACUGGAUAACUUGAGUGCAGAAGAGGGUAGUGGAACUCCAUGUGUAGCGGUGGAAUGCGUAGAUAUAUGGAAGAACACCAGUGGCGAAGGCGGCUACCUGGUCUGCAACUGACGCUGAGACUCGAAAGCAUGGGUAGCGAACAGGAUUAGAUACCCUGGUAGUCCAUGCCGUAAACGAUGAGUGCUAGGUGUUGGAGGGUUUCCGCCCUUCAGUGCCGGAGCUAACGCAUUAAGCACUCCGCCUGGGGAGUACGACCGCAAGGUUGAAACUCAAAGGAAUUGACGGGGGCCCGCACAAGCGGUGGAGCAUGUGGUUUAAUUCGAAGCUACGCGAAGAACCUUACCAGGUCUUGACAUCUUGCGCCAACCCUAGAGAUAGGGCGUUUCCUUCGGGAACGCAAUGACAGGUGGUGCAUGGUCGUCGUCAGCUCGUGUCGUGAGAUGUUGGGUUAAGUCCCGCAACGAGCGCAACCCUUGUUACUAGUUGCCAGCAUUAAGUUGGGCACUCUAGUGAGACUGCCGGUGACAAACCGGAGGAAGGUGGGGACGACGUCAGAUCAUCAUGCCCCUUAUGACCUGGGCUACACACGUGCUACAAUGGACGGUACAACGAGUCGCGAACUCGCGAGGGCAAGCAAAUCUCUUAAAACCGUUCUCAGUUCGGACUGCAGGCUGCAACUCGCCUGCACGAAGUCGGAAUCGCUAGUAAUCGCGGAUCAGCAUGCCGCGGUGAAUACGUUCCCGGGCCUUGUACACACCGCCCGUCACACCAUGAGAGUUUGUAACACCCAAAGUCGGUGGG
rnacentral:rRNA from 2 species